GCGUCCUUAGUUCAGAUGGUAGAACGGCGGUCUCCAAAACCGCAUGUCGGGGGUUCGAGUCCUCCAGGGCGCG
rnacentral:tRNA from 1 species